UCCAUUUGACUGCAUUUCACUUCCAGUUUGUAACACAAUACAGUAUGGGAAAGUUCAUGAGAGGGGAAAACUUACAAUUCAAUACACAGUACAGCAAAUUUGACCGAUUUAAGAGGCUGAAAUCUAGACUUUUCAAACACUGACUGAAGCCCCACCACUUCAAUCAGCAAGAUCUGAAUUAUCAUUUUUGUAUUAAUAAUGCGCCUUUUCAAUGGUUAUAUUAUUCUAGCAGUGGAGUAAAAGGGUGAGGUCAGAUUGUUCAAGUACAAUGGAGGGUUUAUUCGUUUGCAUUAGAAUUCAGACUCAUGCGUGUGUAUUCUUUGAUACUUUGUAAGUGUAAAAUCACUGAGGUAUUUUUAGGCAAAUUUCUUUUUUUAUAAAAAAAAAACAUAAAAACAUGAUUUGUACUGCCAUGAUAAGAAAGUGUUCUUCAAAGUAAAAACCUCAUAAUAAAUAAACCGGUUUCUCAUCAACUUUGCGUGAGGAAUCCAUUCAAAUCCUUUUGUUUCUCCAGCUGACAUUGAAGAUGGGUGUCGGUUACUCUUUCAAGUAAACUGCCAUAUAACAAUAACAUACUGCAGCAUGUGACGUAUGAAGAGCAGGUUAUGGAAUGUUUCUAAACGCUUGACUAACAUGCAAAUUACAUAACUGAUCAACACAGCAAGAUAGUUCAGUUCUGCAUGAAUGCUUCCUGUGCAAAUACUGAGCUUGUGUUACAGCCCAUGCAAGUAUGUCACAAAAGAAUGCUGUGUGUUUAUUGAAUUACUUCCUGUUAGAACUAAUUGUGCAUGAAUGUAGAUUCUGGAAUUGCAAAUAAUUCUUAUGCUGAAUUCUGAUUGGUCAGGAGGAGAUUUAUGAUUUUAUAUCAUUUUAAUUAAGGAAUGGAGUUAUUCAAUAUCUGGGAGAAUGAAACUAGUAGGAAAUGACAGUGGAAAUGGAAAUCUGGAGAUAUCACCACACCCUGGGAGAUGAAGAGGUAACAUCACUGUGACCUCGAUCCAGGAAGUAGUUCACAGCCAGCUGGAUUCCCAGGCAGGAAAAAACUUCCUUGUUCCCAUGACUGAACAGAAAUUUCAUAGAGAAAUUCAUCAAACUACUCAGGUCACGGGGAGCCUGUGCCUAUCUCAGGCGUCAUCGGGGAUCAAGGCAGGAUACACCCUGGACGGAGUGCCAACGCAUCACAGGGCACACACACACUCUCAGCACCAUUCAAGCUCUGUAAGUGCAUGACAUGUUUUCAACCAUUACUAAACCAUUCAUUCAUUCAUUUAUUCAUUCAUUCAUUCGUUUUCUACCUCUUAGAAAACCUAUCUCAGGUGUCAUCGGGCAUCAAGGCAGG